rnacentral:rRNA from 1 species
GAGUAACGCGUGGGUAACCUGCCCUGUACACACGGAUAACAUACCGAAAGGUAUGCUAAUACGAGAUAAUAUGCUUUUAUCGCAUGGUAGAGGUAUCAAAGCUCCGGCGGUACAGGAUGGACCCGCGUCUGAUUAGCUAGUUGGUGAGGUAACGGCUCACCAAGGCGACGAUCAGUAGCCGACCUGAGAGGGUGAUCGGCCACAUUGGAACUGAGACACGGUCCAA